rnacentral:rRNA from 1 species
AACGCGAAGAACCUUACCUGGUCUUGACAUCCACAGAAUCUUGCAGAGAUGCGAGAGUGCCUUCGGGAACUGUGAGACAGGUGCUGCAUGGCUGUCGUCAGCUCGUGUUGUGAAAUGUUGGGUUAAGUCCCGCAACGAGCGCAACCCCUAUCCUUUGUUGCCAGCACGUAGAGGUGGGAACUCAAAGGAGACUGCCGUUGAUAAAGCGGAGGAAGGUGGGGACGACGUCAAGUCAUCAUGGCCCUUACGACCAGGGCUACACACGUGCUACAAUGGCGUAUACAAAGGGCUGCGAAGGUGCGAACUGGAGCGAACCUCAUAAAGUACGUCUAAGUCCGGAUUGGAGUCUGCAACUCGACUCCAUGAAGUCGGAAUCGCUAGUAAUCGUGAAUCAGAAUGUCACGGUGAAUAUGUUCCCGGGUCUUGCACACACCG